CUAUUCUAAUAUAUCAUUUCUUUCCAGAUAGAAAAAUUAAGUAAAAGUGAAUGAAAUUGCAUGAAUUACAGGAAAUUGCAUGGGAAGUGAAGUAAUAGUUUGAUAAAUUGCGAGGUAUUCUGUUAUUUACGAAAUCAAGAUGGAAGCCAUUUUUCAUGAACAGGCGGUUCAAUCCCCACCUCCUUGAUCAGAGGCCAGCAUCCUACAGCCUCUAUUGUAAACCUCCCCCUUGAACCAACUAUGUGAGGUCAUGGCGGAGGGUGUCGAGGAGGGUUUGGAGGAUCCAGGAUCGGAUCCUCCAGUAGCUGAGGAUGUAGAGACCGUGGAUCCCCGAGGAUCACAAGAAACGGAGGAUUUAGCCUCCAAGGAUUCUAAUUCUAGUGAUGAUUCAAAUAAAGAUUCUUGUGAUUCCAAUACUCAGCACAUUGAUGAUGAUACUCGUAACACUGAACCAAUGAAAAUUCAAUCAGAUAUAAAAACUAGAACUGUACCAGAUUCUAGUGUACCAGAUUCUAACACACCAGAUAAUCCACCAAAGGUUUCUCCUGUUUUACCAGAGAUUGUUAGUAAAGAAAGUGAAGAUGUCUCCAAUGUCGAGCAGGAUGUUCCGCCUGCUGAUCAUUCUUCCCCUCUUGUUGAAGAAGAGCCCUUGAACGAUAUUACCCAUCCUCUUUUCUCAUCUAAAUCUAUUCUGGAAGAGGAGGAGAAGGAGGCUGAGAGAGAAGCCGCAACAACCGAACAGAGUGGGGGUGGACUAGGAUUUACACUUGGAGCUGAGAGUAAAGCUGAUAUCUUGGAUUCUCUAGCUUUCUCAAUCAAGCAUAGGGAUUCUUCGGGAUUCAUGCAGGAACAGUUUAUGGAUCAGGAUGUGAUAAAUCUAGCAGAUUUCCAGUCUGGGCCCCCGCAACAACACCGUGUAGGAUAUCCAGGACCUGCAACGGGUUGGUCUGGAACGGAUUCCCAGGCUGGAUCUACGGGAAAGUUCUCCGGUCGGUGGAGUGGGGCGGGAAAUUAUGAGGAGGACUAUGGUUGGGAUGAAGGUGGUGGGGAUAAUAUCUCUGAUCUAUUAACAAUAAGACGAGUGGACAGUAAAGAUGUUGUUUACAAGAAGAAGAAAGCCGCAAAGUUUGUUGGAAAAUACGUGUUCGGAGAUAUUCUUGGAGAAGGAAGCUAUGCUAGGGUUAAAGAAUGUGUAGAUUCUGAAACCUUGUGCAGACGAGCAGUGAAGAUUAUGAAGAAGCGUAAGUUGCGUAAGAUUCCUAAUGGCGAAGAGAAUGUUAGACGUGAGAUUGCCUUGUUAAAAUCCUUGAAUCAUAAGAACGUUAUGAAGCUCAUUGAUGUUCUUACCAACGAACAAAAGGGGAAAAUAUAUUUGGUGCUAGAGUAUUGCUGUACGGUACUGCAGGAAAUGCUGGAGAAAAGUGUAGAUAAGAAGUUUCCGCCUUGGCAAAGUCAUCUCUACUUUACCCAGCUCCUAGAGGGGCUGGAAUACUUACACUCAAAGGGAAUAAUCCACAAGGAUAUAAAGCCUGGAAACCUGCUGCUGGAUCGAGCAGAAGUUCUCAAGAUAGCAGAUUUCGGAGUUUGUGAGCAGAUUGAUAUGUUUUCUCAGAAUGAUCUGAUAAAGACAAGUCAAGGAACCCCCUCCUUCCAACCACCAGAGGUUGCGACCGGUGUAGAUUUGUUUUCGGGGGAAAAACUUGAUAUUUGGAGCUGUGGGGUUACUCUGUACAACUUCAGUACAGGCGAUUACCCAUUUCAAGGAGACACAAUCUUUAAGCUUUUUGAAAAUAUCGGUAAAGGUGAAUUCAGUUUCCAUGUGGGUGUGGACAAGUUGUUAGAGGAUCUAGUGACCCAGCUGUUAGCCCUGGACCCGGCUGACCGGCCAAAUGUCAAGCAGGCCAGACAACAUGAUUGGUGCAGGAAGAAGUUUCCGAGAUCAUCCCAGGCUGUGUGUGCUCCUCCAUACCUGGAUGAUCCAUUCCUCUCGACCACUGUUCUACCCUACCUAGAGAACCAUCACUAUCCGUCCUCAGAACCUGAGCUCAUCUCAGAGCAUGAUCUUAAUAGACAAGAAGAGGCAAGACUUGAACAGCAGCAAGAAGAAGCUGCAGAGCUAGAACAAGAACGACGAGAAUCAAAGACGACAUCUUGUAUUAAAUUAAAGAAUGGGUGCAAACAGCAGUGAGAAGGAAAACAAAAUUAUCCUCGCGUUAAUGUACGGAAAUCCGUUGACUGCGUGCAUAACAAACUUCAAGAAGGUGUACAUUGGCUCCAUAGUGCUUAACUAACUUAGAUCGGAGCAUAGUCAAACUUCAAAGUGUUUGUAGAUCGGAUUAAAUACCAUAGUUAAAUCUCAAAGUGUACGUAGAUCGGAUGAUGGAGCAUAAUCAAACCUCGAGGCGUACGUAGAUCGGAGAUUGGAUGACUUACCAUAAAUUAAACCUAAAGGUGUACGUAGAUUGGAUGAUAUACUAUUUUCAUUCAAUAAGUUUUAAGAAGUUCGGAUAAUGGAUCAUAGUUCAAACAUAAAAACGUUCCUCAAAAUUAUAUCACCAUAUACUAAUCUUGUUAUUUAAGAUCUUUGAUCAAGGAUCACUACUAACGGACUUAAUCCAUGAUUUCGCCUUAUUUAUUAAUUUUGUUACCUGAACGAAUUUUACCAAAAGUUAAUAUUUUGAACAGUGAGCUAGAUACUUAAAUAGUUUGUCCUUAGAAGUUCAAAUCAGAGUAGCUGAAAAUAAUAAUCGUUGUUAAACCAAUAAUUUUCCUAUAUACCUCACAGACAUUUGUAAAUAAACUUGUACUUUAUAUUCCUUGAUAAAUUAAAUUCACGGACUGUAGAGUAGGUUUAUACAACUAUAUGUGUACAUAAUAAUUGUUUUAUAUUUUGUUUUGAUAUCAUGGAUCCAGUUUUUCAACAUUUUCAUGAUUGAAUAAAUUGUUGUACUUAG
rnacentral:misc_RNA from 1 species